AGGCCUCCAUGACAUCUUAUUCUCAAGGGAGACGUGGGACUUGUGACAGCAGGCAAGGAGUGAGGGAUGGAUGGAGGGAGGGGGGAGAGGAGUGGAACAGGAGAAGUUGGAGGAGGAGGAGAGAAAUGUGACUGGUUGCGGUGACUGAAUUUGCUAGGGAAAUAAGAGGAGCUAACUUCAGUCUGCCUGCCUCCAGGCUCCUCCCAUUUGACACCAGGAGGAGGAAGAAGGUAGAGGAGGUCCACCUGGCCAAGUGAUAGUUCAGUGUGGUGCUAUCACACACACACCCCCUCCCACAUAGAGUCGAGAGCUGGCCUAAGGCUGUGGGUUUCACUCAGUCAAAAAGAAACUGAGACACAGAAAUAAAACUGUAAAAGGAUAGUGGAGAAUGGUGACAGUGAUCUUUAGAGCAGCUGUCUGCUGCCUCAGUGCCUCGGGCAGUUAAACAAAGAAGAAGCAGAAUGACAAAGAGCUUCAAACUGCUAACGGCAUGAAGUUUGUUUCAGUUUGGUUAAGGUUUCAGUGACUAAAGGUACCACGCAAUAUGUUACUCUGCGAGGGCCGCAGUAAUAACAAGAGAUUGGCCUACAGUGACCUUUCAGAGGCACGGAAGAAAAAAACAGUGACUGUCAUAUUGAUUUUCAUCUCACAAGGAGACAAAAGUUUAACAUUUUUUAUUUUUAUUCCCGGACAACAAAGUAGAAAUCCUUAUUUAACCUCGUACAAAGACCUGUGUUUUGACUGUGUUCCUGCUCCUUAUCUUGUGGAAACACAGGCCUGUGUUUGUUUUCACUUUCACCUCAUCACAGCAGUUGUUGUAAUGCUAAUCCAUCCAUCUUUACAGAACACAGCACGUUCAUGAGACAGUCGACAGUCAAACACCCACUGUGCUCGCUCAUCGCACAGGGUCGUGGUUGGACAGGAUGUGAAUGUGCUGUACAGUGGUGCGGCCUGAAUGAACCAGCCCAUUUUCUAUUUAAGGUCCCCUCCGAUCAUCUGAGCUCCAGGAGUGACCUGGGGAACUGUGGAGACCCUGGUGAACCUCAGGAGCUUCACACUUUUAGAGCCUGGUUAGAAACUCUGUGCAAAAGCCAGGACGCAACAGCUGGGUGACACACCCACACACACUCACACACACACACACACACACAUGGAACCUCAAUUGGGGGCACUCUUACUCUGUUAAAACAUGUCACAUUUUCCAUUUCCAGCCCCCCAGUCUGAGACCACUUCUUUGAUUGUUGCUGCAGCGUCCUGGUCUUCAUCACUAUCACCACACGUCAUCCUCUUCAUUUUUGUGGAACCACAUCCCAACGUCAGUGUUAAUGCAUCACUGCUGUCAUAAAUCCUGCUGCAGAGACUCAAAGCAGACACAGCACACCAGCCCACAUCAAGGCUACAGUAUUGGCACUCGUAUGUGUGCAGUUGUGUGUGCGUGUCUGGAGUAGUCGUUACAGUGGGGCCACAUAGGGUGUGAGUGGCCCCACUGUGAUAGUGUGCCGGUUCCCAUGUACAUAUUCUUGAAGGUGGUAAAAUGGAAUCUGUAGCUGUGUGAAAUGACCUCUUGUGGACAGUGACGAUGUGACAGUGCAGUGAACUGUUGUCGUGAGUCUCAUUUUCAAUUAAUUUAAUUUCUUGUUUUUUGUGUGAGUGGGGUGAAGCUGGGCCGAGAGGGAGCUUAAAAAAGGGGAGGGAAUCUGGUUUGUACCCGCAGCGAUGUUAUUGGUUAAGAGGAUUCAUUCACACAAAAAGAUUUAUAACAGUGGGAAACAUAGAAUAUAAGACACACAUGUGUCUGUGUGUGUGGAGACGCAUGUUUUUCUCUUGUGCCUGCAUGUGAGCGACAGUUUUUUUUUUUUUUACUGCUGCACUGUUGAACCUAUCUCUCUAUCUAUGAAGCCAACUCCUCGUUGCCUAAGCGUGAAAAAUACCACUGUUGUGGGUACACUUUGUCCUUAUGGGGGCAGACACCCACAGAGUGAAAUGGUGUUUAAGGUAAAGAUUUAGUUCAGAGAUAGAAUUGGAUUCGGGGUCUAAUAAUCUGACAAAAUGGGGGCAAGGUAUAGGACCAGGAAUAUUUGUAAUAGCUAAUGUUAAGGUUAGUGGCUUGGGAGUAUAUCAUGUUCUGUAUGUAAUGUUCAGAAAAACUAGUGUGUGUGUGUGUAUGUUGCUCUGUGGCAAGAGCCUCACCCCAACGCACAUUCCACACCCACACACUUGCAGUCAAUGACAGGAAAUAAACUGAUG